rnacentral:lncRNA from 1 species
GAGUGUGUGUAUAUAAAAGUAAGUAUUUAUUCUAUUACAACUCAAUAGUAGCAAUGUAAUAGAAAUAGAAGAAUAGGAUGGGUUAGUGAUGGUUAUCCUGAGCUGGAAAAGGGAUGAUUCAACCUGAUGCAGAGAAGAAUUUCAAAAAGAGCACAGAAAAGCAGAGAGAAUAUUCAGAGAGUCUAGAAGGUCAAGGAAGGAUUCAUACCAGACAUGUGUCCUCCCUCAAACGAAAUCCUCCAAAUACUGAUUUCUCUUCCUGUGACGUGUGCUCCUCCUAACGGUUUUGUUGCAUGCAUUCUCUGUCAUCUCUUGCCUCGUGCUUAUUUUAUUUGUGCAUUUCCCUUUCUGUCCCUGCCCUUUUAAGCAUG